UCCUAUUCAACUGUCUACAGCAUUCAUAUGCUUGGGAGAAUUUAUUUGUUUCUCCGGUUUGGUGAUUGUGGUGUCUGCCAGAGUGCUUGGAGUCCUCAGGAAGCGCUAGGAGCAUCCUUCAACGGAGGUACCCAGUCGGGGUGCCAGGCGAUCCGUUACAACAUUAUACCCAGGUUUACAGUUGUGUGGCAUUGAGAUUAGUGCACCAUCUUAUGUAAAUGCUAACAAAUGCAGGCUAUGCAUUAAAAACGUUAAACAUUAACAUUAAAAACAAACUAGGCUUGAUUGGAAAGGAGUUAUUGGGAGAUAAUGCUAUAACACAUGAGAAAGGAAAAACCUACUGGUAUCUCGGGGAAACCGCAAAAUGGGAACAAGAUAAGACAUUUCCCCAGCCCCAGGCCAGCAUCUUCAGGCCACAGACUUGCAAAGUCCUUCCCAGUUUGGAAAUCAUAGAAGGUUCUGUUGUUAUGGAAGGCGAUCAUUCGCCUGUCGUUAUGGUGAAUGCUUUGGGUAUAUGCCCCUUCGGGCCAGGAGGGCCAACAUGAAUGGUGAUAGGUGCUCAUGGACCUGCUGAGCCUGAAGAAGGCCCCCCUCCUCCAUGUCCCUCACAACUCUGGUCAUCUUCCCAAGAUAGGAGAGGCUUAGGUUGAGCUUAUGCAUCCAAUGCUGCCCAGAAACCCUCAAAUAUUGCCUCAAACCUUUUUUGCCUCCAAUCUUUAGACUGAACAGUGCUGGAUAAAUGGCAGGCAAAGGUGUAUCUGCCAUCUUGCUGCGUUCUGCAAAUGGGAGAAGUCAGGUGAGAGUAAUGAAGUUACGUAGGUUGAUGCAAGUCCAAUGGGGACCGGGAUAAGGGGUAGCGAGACUGCCGUUUCUCUUUGCUAGUACAGCGGUGAGAUCUAGAGCCUCUAACCAGGUCCUCCA